rnacentral:rRNA from 1 species
AGUGAACGCUGGCGGUAGGCCUAGCACAUGCAAGUCGAACGGCAGCACAGUAAGAGCUUGCUCUUACGGGUGGCGAGUGGCGGACGGGUGGGGAAUACAUCGGAAUCUACUUUUUCGUGGGGGAUAACGUAGGGAAACUGACGCUAAUACCGCAUACGACCUACGGGUGAAAGCAGGGGAUCUUCGGACCUUGCGCGAUUGAAUGAGCCGAUGUCGGAUUAGCUAGUUGGCGGGGUAAAGGCCCACCAAGGCGACGAUCCGUAGCUGGCCUGAGAGGAUGAUCAGCCACACUGGAACUGAGACACGGUCCAGACUCCUACGGGAGGCAGCAGUGGGGAAUAUUGGACAAUGGGCGCAAGCCUGAUCCAGCCAUACCGCGUGGGUGAAGAAGGCCUUCGGGUUGUAAAGCCCUUUUGUUGGGAAAGAACAUCAGCAUGUUAAUCCCCCGCUGUUCUGACGGUACCCAAAGAAUAAGCACCGGCUAACUUCGUG